GUUUUGGGCGAGGAGGUGUAACCUUAGUUUUGGUUCUUUUGAAUUCCGAUUAGAACCAUUUGGGAUGUAUACAGCCAGACAAGUCGUCGCUUUAACACCGAUUUGUAGUGCGUAUUGUUUGUUUGGAUCGGUGAACAGAAUGGACGUGAAUUGGAAGAACUAGAAAAUCCGAACAAAGCUGGAGCGCGUUUUCAGUAUAUCGUAUCUUUGGUAUCACAAAGAAUUUGACGAGGUAACUAGGAGGUUAAAAUGUAAACGUUUGGUGCACUCUUUGAAAGUGAAAAUGUAGUGACUGGAAGUUGAACACGGAUGGUGAUGGUAACCACGAAUAUUCGAUAAGUGAGACUGGGGAUUUGCUACCUCUGAUGGAUUUCAGCCAGAGACCUAUUACUCGGAGUGUAGCAAAGGCAACAAGAGCGAUUCCAAAAGCUGUCAGACUUCCCUGGCUAUCACCUGAUCUAUUACUAGAAGGUACUAGAAGUUACUAGAAGAGCAACUAGACAUAUUAUGUCAGAGGCACUCAAGACGGCAGAAGAGUUGAACUCUAUGAAAGCUCCCAAUUAUCACAUUCUAUCGACGAAUCAGAUCGCUUUGAAAAUGGCCAAAUAUAUUAAUACUUCAAGAAGUAAAUGAGCUUUUCAGUAGAAUUGUAUGCACCGAAAUCCAAUCUACCAGACUUAAUAAUAAAGGAUGAAGUAUUUGGAACAGAAUACCAAGACGUCAGAAGUCCAAUGUUAGAACAAUUCUUAGAUGUAUCCAAUUUCUUCUAGAUUCCUCAAAAAGGAUUUUCUAAUAGCUACCGUUAUAUCUUUUAUAUAGGGUGUCCCAAAAGUAGCGGAACGGUCGAAUAUUUCACGAAAUAAACAUCAUAUCGAAAAACUGAAAAAUACGUGUUCAAUCAUUUUCAAAAAUCUAU
rnacentral:lncRNA from 1 species